rnacentral:rRNA from 1 species
GUGGGGAAUAUUGUACAAUGGGCGAAAGCCUGAUCCAGCCAUGCCGCGUGUGUGAAGAAGGUCUUCGGAUUGUAAAGCACUUUAAGUUGGGAGGAAGGGUAGUAACCUAAUACGUUGCUACUUUGACGUUACCGACAGAAUAAGCACCGGCUAACUUCGUGCCAGCAGCCGCGGUAAUACGAAGGGUGCAAGCGUUAAUCUGAAUUACUGGGCGUAAAGCGCGCGUAGGUGGUUCAGUAAGUUGGAAGUGAAAUCCCCGGGCUCAACCUGGGAACUGCUUUCAAAACUGCUGAGCUAGAGUACUGUAGAGGGUGGUGGAAUUUCCUGUGUAGCGGUGAAAUGCGUAGAUAUAGGAAGGAACACCAGUGGCGAAGGCGACCACCUGGACUGAUACUGACACUGAGGUGCGAAAGCGUGGGGAGCAAACAGGAUUAGAAACCCCAGUAGUCC